ACACAAACGGUGAUGAAAGUCUUCAGAAACAGGGUGUAAUUACCGCAGAACCGCGUGUGACUGUGGGUUCUAAUGCUAGACUGCCACUGUAACGUGAUCUCGGGGAAAUAACUUUAGUUAUCGCGAGAUCUAAAAAAACAAACAAACAAAAAAAGCGAGUUCUGCUCGUUUCUAUAGUAACAAAGGGAACCGGUUAAAAACAGAAAGAGGAGUCUCAAGUGCAGGUUUUUCUACAAGGAAUCAGGUUUGCAGUGAGGACCAUCUUCAUCACACUGAAGUUCCUGGGCCAUCAUGCUGCUCAAAAGCAACACUUUCAUAAGGUUGUUUCUGGUCUCGGUUCUGAUUGGAAGAGCUCUGAGCGCACCUGUUAUAGAAAGAGAGAUGGCUAAUGAAAACACACCUCUAGACUUGCUGUUUGACCCAGAGCCUGUUAAGGAUCAUUUUACUCUGAUGGACGAUUAUGGAGUGAUACCAGUUCCACCUCAUGUGCCAUCAUAUCUCCUCAGGGCACAAGCUCAGACUAGUCCAGCUUAGAGGAAGAUUAAUUCCAUCCCCCCACCCCAAAAAAAACCAAGUCCUGAUCCCAGUCCCACUCUAUUAGAGACAAAGCUUGAUUCAGAACGUGACAUUAGAAAUGAAUAAUAAAUAACCAGCUGUGUCCUGCUUCUCCUUUUCAUUACACAAGCACACAUUUCUUCAUUUAACUCAAAUAGGUUUCAGUACGA